rnacentral:rRNA from 1 species
GGUCUGAGAGGAUGAUCCGCCACACUGGGACUGAGACACGGCCCAGACUCCUACGGGAGGCAGCAGUGGGGAAUAUUGGACAAUGGGGGGAACCCUGAUCCAGCCAUGCCGCGUGUGUGAAGAAGGCCUUUUGGUUGUAAAGCACUUUAAGCGAGGAGGAGGCUACCGAGAUUAAUACUCUCGGAUAGUGGACGUUACUCGCAGGAUAAGCACCGGCUAACUCUGUGCCAGCAGCCGCGGUAAUACAGAGGGUGCGAGCGUUAAUCGGAUUUACUGGGCGUAAAGCGUGCGUAGGCGGCUUUUUAAGUCGGAUGUGAAAUCCCUGAGCUUAACUUAGGAAUUGCAUUCGAUACU